rnacentral:rRNA from 1 species
UGGGGAAUAUUGGACAAUGGGGGCAACCCUGAUCCAGCCAUGCCGCGUGAGUGAUGAAGGCCUUGGGGUUGUAAAGCUCUUUCGCCGGUGAAGAUAAUGACGGUAACCGGUAAAGAAGCCCCGGCUAACUUCGUGCCAGCAGCCGCGGUAAUACGAAGGGGGCUAGCGUUGUUCGGAAUUACUGGGCGUAAAGCGCGCGUAGGCGGACUAUUAAGUCAGGGGUGAAAUCCCGGGGCUCAACCACGGAAUUGCCAUUGAUACUGGUAGUCUAGAGUCCGUGAGAGGUGAGUGGAACUCCGAGUGUAGAGGUGAAAUUCGUAGAUAUUGGGUGGAACACCAGUGGCGAAAGCGGCUCUCUGGUCCGGAUCUGACGCUGAGGCGCGAAAGCGUGGGGAGCAAACAGGAUUAGAUACCCGCGUAGUCC